GUGAGGAUUACUUAAUCUAAUAGAGUUACUUGUACUGUACAACACUUUUUUUAAAAAGGAAAAUAUAUAUGUAGGUUUACAGGAAGAAAUGCAAGGAGGCACUUCUGUAAAUGUUUUAUAAAUAUUGUUUUGAUAGGAUGCCAGACUUCAUCUUCCUUUUCUAGGUGAAGAACUGAAGAUAUAAGGGGAUUGAAGAAGAACAAGUCACAAUCCAAAUCAGACAGUCUGCAAAGAACCUGGGAUACAAACCGAUACAAACCCUGCCUUCAGGCUUCUCAAAGGAGAGACAGACACAUACACAGGUAAGUACACAGAGCAUGGUUCCUGCUGUAAGAGGUUAGCACAGUCACUGUC
rnacentral:lncRNA from 1 species